rnacentral:rRNA from 1 species
UGGGGGUAAAUUAAUAUAAUAAAAUAAAUAAUAAAAAUAAUUAUAAAAAAUAAUUAAUGGGGGUUAAAGUAUUUUUUAGAAAAAAAUUUAUUAAUUUAUAGUUUAAUAGUAUUGUGAAAGAAUUUUGAAAUAAAGUUAAAAAUUAAUUAUUAUAUAAGUAAAUUUAGUUUAUUGUAUCUUGUGUAUCAGAGUUUAUUAAAAAGUAUUUUUAAAUGAAAAUAUCUCGAAUUUAAAAGAGAUAAUUAAUUAUUAAAGUUAAUGUGACAUAAUUAUUUUAAAUAAUUAAUUUGAAAUGAAAUGUUAAUCGUUUUUAAAAAUAUCUAGUUUUUUUAGAAAAAAAUUUAAUUUUAAAUUAAUUUAAUAAUUUUUUUUAAAUUUAUUAUAUAAAAUUAUAUAUUUAAUUAAAUAUUUUAGGGGAUAAGCUUUAAAUUAAAUUUUUAUAAUAAUUAAUAAAUUAUUUAAAUAUUUUAAAAUUUAUAUUUUUUAUAAAUUAUAAUUUUUUAUAAAUAAUUUUAUUUAUUUUAAAAUUUAAAUUUAUAUUUAAAUUUAUAUAAAAAAAUAAUUUUUAAUAAUAAAAAAUUAGUUAUAAUGAUAAAAUUAGUAUAUAAAAAAAAAAAAUGAAAUAUAAUUAAUUAAAAUUAAUAAAAAGGAAUUCGGCAAAAAU